rnacentral:rRNA from 1 species
GACGAACGCUGGCGGCGUGCUUAACACAUGCAAGUCGAACGAUGAACCCGGAGCUUGCUCCGGCGGAUUAGUGGCGAACGGGUGAGUAACACGUGAGUAACCUGCCCUUGACUCUGGGAUAACUGCUAGAAAUGGUAGCUAAUACCGGAUACGACCCUCGGUGGCAUCACCAGGGGGUGGAAAGAAUUUCGGUCAAGGAUGGACUCGCGGCCUAUCAGCUAGUUGGUGAGGUAACGGCUCACCAAGGCGACGACGGGUAGCCGGCCUGAGAGGGUGACCGGGCAGAGUGGGACUGAGACACGGCCCAGACUCCUACGGGAGGCAGCAGUGGGGAAUAUUGCACAAUGGGCGCAAGCCUGAUGCAGCAACGCCGCGUGAGGGAUGACGGCCUUCGGGUUGUAAACCUCUUUUAGUAGGGAAGAAGCGAAAGUGACGGUACCUGCAGAAAAAGCACCGGCUAACUACGUGCCAGCCGCCGCAGUAA